GGGGAAUUUUGGACAAUGGGCGCAAGCCUGAUCCAGCCAUUCCGCGUGAGUGAAGAAGGCCUUCGGGUUGUAAAGCUCUUUCGGCAGGGAAGAAACGGCCAUGGCUAAUAUCCGUGGCUAAUGACGGUACCUGAAGAAGAAGCACCGGCUAACUACGUGCCAGCAGCCGCGGUAAUACGUAGGGUGCGAGCGUUAAUCGGAAUUACUGGGCGUAAAGCGUGCGCAGGCGGUUUUGUAAGACAGAUGUGAAAUCCCCGGGCUCAACCUGGGAACUGCGUUUGUGACUGCAAGACUCGAGUACGGCAGAGGGGGGUGGAAUUCCACGUGUAGCAGUGAAAUGCGUAGAGAUGUGGAGGAACACCGAUGGCGAAGGCAGCCCCCUGGGUCGAUACUGACGCUCAUGCACGAAAGCGUGGGGAGCAAAC
rnacentral:rRNA from 1 species